ensembl:snRNA U6 U6 spliceosomal RNA
GUGUUAGCUUUGGAAAGACAUAUUAAACUGGAACAACAGACAGAAGAUUAGUGUUGCCUGUGUGCAAGGAUGACAUGCAAACUCAUGUAGAGUUCCAUAUUUUU